rnacentral:rRNA from 1 species
GUAUAAGAGACAGCAGCAGCCACGGUAAUACAGAGGGUGCGAGCGUUAAUCGGAUUUACUGGGCGUAAAGCGUGCGUAGGCGGCUUCUUAAGUCGGAUGUGAAAUCCCUGAGCUUAACUUAGGAAUUGCAUUCGAUACUGGGAAGCUAGAGUAUGGGAGAGGAUGGUAGAAUUCCAGGUGUAGCGGUGAAAUGCGUAGAGAUCUGGAGGAAUACCGAUGGCGAAGGCAGCCAUCUGGCCUAAUACUGACGCUGAGGUACGAAAGCAUGGGGAGCAAACAGGAUUAGAUACCCGAGUAGUCCCUGUCUCUUAUAA